rnacentral:rRNA from 1 species
CCUACGGGGGGCUGCAGUGGGGAAUAUUGGACAAUGGGCGAAAGCCUGAUCCAGCCAUGCCGCGUGUGUGAAGAAGGCCUUCGGGUUGUAAAGCACUUUCAGUGGGGAAGAAAGCCUUGGGGCUAAUACCCUCGAGGAAGGACAUCACCCACAGAAGAAGCACCGGCUAACUCCGUGCCAGCAGCCGCGGUAAUACGGAGGGUGCGAGCGUUAAUCGGAAUUACUGGGCGUAAAGCGCGCGUAGGCGGUCUGAUAAGCCGGUUGUGAAAGCCCCGGGCUCAACCUGGGAACGGCAUCCGGGACUGUCAGGCUAGAGUGCAGGAGAGGAAGGUAGAAUUCCCGGUGUAGAGGUGAAAUGCGUAGAGAUCGGGAGGAAUACCAGUGGCGAAGGCGGCCUUCUGGACUGACACUGACGCUGAGGUGCGAAAGCGUGGGUAGCAAACAGGAUUAGAUACCCCGGUAGUC